GAUGAACGCUGGCGGCGUGCCUAAUACAUGCAAGUCGAGCGAAUGGAUUGAGAGCUUGCUCUUAUGAAGUUAGCGGCGGACGGGUGAGUAACACGUGGGUAACCUGCCCAUAAGACUGGGAUAACUCCGGGAAACCGGGGCUAAUACCGGAUAACAUUUUGAACCGCAUGGUUCGAAAUUGAAAGGCGGCUGCGGCUGUCACUUAUGGAUGGACCCGCGUCGCAUUAGCUAGUUGGUGAGGUAACGGCUCACCAAGGCAACGAUGCGUAGCCGACCUGAGAGGGUGAUCGGCCACACUGGGAUUGAGACACGGCCCAGACUCCUACGGGAGGCAGCAGUAGGGAAUCUUCCGCAAUGGACGAAAGUCUGACGGAGCAACGCCGCGUGAGUGGUGAAGGCUUUCGGGUCGUAAAACUCUGUUGUUAGGGAAGAACAAGUGCUAGUUGAAUAAGCUGGCACCUUGACGGUACCUAACCAGAAAGCCACGGCUAACUACGUGCCAGCCGCCGCUGUAA
rnacentral:rRNA from 1 species